ACUAUAUCAAACCCCUAAAAGUCUUGCAUCAAUAAGUAUCCAGCUAGAUUCAUGAAACUGAAUUUUAGUCAAGUCGUAUUUGAAUAUUCAGAAGAUGUAACAUAGUUGAUGUAGAAAACCGCGUUCUUGAAUGAGAAGAAUACGUAGAAGUUUGAUGCUUCAACUUUAUCUGUUCACAUACGGCUGAUUAAUUGUUUUCUUCGAUCUAUAUAUGUACACACAACUGGUCGAGAUGUGAGAAAAGAACAACAAAAUGAAGAAAAUAAUACAAUCGCUUCUUCUAAGUUUGGUUCCUAUACUUCUAUGUGUAUCUUUUCAGGUUGGUGUGAUAGAGGCUAGAUUGCGUCACCUAGGAACACCAAUAACAGAAACACGAAUGAUACUCCUAAAACCUCCCCCACCUUGUGGAGCUAAAAUAAGUGCUGCGCCGCCUUCUCCUCCGAUACAAACGGGAGAGAUGCGUCCUUUUGAGACACAAACAGAAGGAGCUUGUAGAAUCGUUCCUCGAAGACCUCCUCGUCUACCUUAAGAACUUACACACUCAGAAAUCAGAAUCCACAAAGACUUUGCCCACCAUAUAUAUAUAUAUAAUUAAUGUAGUUCCAAUCAUUAUUUAGUAAGGAUUAUAUCAUAAAGAAAUAAAUUAUUUGCCAA